rnacentral:rRNA from 1 species
AUGAACGCUAGCGGCAGGCUUAACACAUGCAAGUCGAGGGGUAACAGAGGUAGCUUGCUACUUGCUGACGACCGGCGCACGGGUGCGUAACGCGUAUACAAUCUACCUUUUGCUGAGGAAUAGCCCAGAGAAAUUUGGAUUAAUGCCUCAUAGUAUGUUGACUUCGCAUGGAGAUAACAUUAAAGGUUACGGCAAAAGAUGAGUAUGCGUCCUAUUAGUUAGUUGGUGUGGUAACGGCACACCAAGACAGCGAUAGGUAGGGGCCCUGAGAGGGGGAUCCCCCACACUGGUACUGAGACACGGACCAGACUCCUACGGGAGGCAGCAGUGAGGAAUAUUGGACAAUGGAGGCAACUCUGAUCCAGCCAUGCCGCGUGCAGGAAGACUGCCCUAUGGGUUGUAAACUGCUUUUAUACAGGAAGAAACCGCUCUACGUGUAGAGCUCUGACGGUACUGUAAGAAUAAGGAUCGGCUAACUCCGUGCCAGCAGCCGCGGUAAUACGGAGGAUCCAAGCGUUAUCCGGAAUCAUUGGGUUUAAAGGGUCCGUAGGUGGAUAAUUAAGUCAGAGGUGAAAGUUUGCAGCUCAACUGUAAAAUUGCCUUUGAUACUGGUUAUCUUGAGUUAUUAUGAAGUAGUUAGAAUAUGUAGUGUAGCGGUGAAAUGCAUAGAUAUUACAUAGAAUACCAAUUGCGAAGGCAGAUUACUAAUAAUAUACUGACACUGAUGGACGAAAGCGUGGGUAGCGAACAGGAUUAGAUACCCUGGUAGUCCACGCCGUAAACGAUGGAUACUAGCUGUUCGACUUCGGUUGAGUGGCUAAGCGAAAGUGAUAA